rnacentral:rRNA from 6 species
AAAUUGAAGAGUUUGAUCAUGGCUCAGAUUGAACGCUGGCGGCAGGCCUAACACAUGCAAGUCGAACGGUAACAGGAAGCAGCUUGCUGCUUUGCUGACGAGUGGCGGACGGGUGAGUAAUGUCUGGGAAACUGCCUGAUGGAGGGGGAUAACUACUGGAAACGGUGGCUAAU